UNCACAGUGAAAAUGAGCACAUGCCUUCCC
rnacentral:piRNA from 1 species